rnacentral:rRNA from 1 species
GAAAUAGAACCUGAAACCGUGUACGUACAAGCAGUAGGAGCAGGCUUUGUCCUGUGACUGCGUACCUUUUGUAUAAUGGGUCAGCGACUUAUAUUCAGUGGCAAGGUUAACCAUCUAGGGGAGCCGUAGGGAAACCGAGUCUUAACUGGGCGUUCAGUCUCUGGAUAUAGACCCGAAACCAGGUGAUCUAGCCAUGGGCAGGUUGAAGGUUGAGUAACAUCAACUGGAGGACCGAACCGACUAAUGUUGAAAAAUUAGCGGAUGACUUGUGGCUAGGGGUGAAAGGCCAAUCAAACCUGGAGAUAGCUGGUUCUCCCCGAAAGCUAUUUAGGUAGCGCCUCGGACGAAUACUACUGGGGGUAGAGCACUGUUAAGGCUAGGGGGUCAUCCCGACUUACCAACCCUUUGCAAACUCCGAAUACCAGUAAGUACUAUCCGGGAGACACACGGCGGGUGCUAACGUCCGUCGUGGAGAGGGAAACAACCCAGACCGCCAGCUAAGGUCCCAAAUUACUACUAAGUGGGAAACGAUGUGGGAAGGCUCAGACAGCCAGGAUGUUGGCUUAGAAGCAGCCAUCAUUUAAAGAAAGCGUAAUAGCUCACUGGUCGAGUCGGCCUGCGCGGAAGAUGUAACGGGGCUAAGUAGUAAACCGAAGCUGCGGCAAUAUACUUUUGUAU